CAGCCGCCGCGGGAAAACGGAGGGUGCAAGCGUUAAUCGGAAUUACUGGGCGUAAAGCGCACGCAGGCGGUCUGACAAGUCAGAUGUGAAAUCCCCGGGCUUAACCUGGGAACUGCAUUUGAAACUGUCAGGCUGGAGUCUUGUAGAGGGGGGUGGAAUUCCAGGUGUAGCGGUGAAAUGCGUAGAGAUCUGGAGGAAUACCGGUGGCGAAGGCGGCCCCCUGGACAAAGACUGACGCUCAGGUGCGAAAGCGUGGGGAGCAAACAGGAUUAGAUACCCGAGUAGUCCCUGUCUCUUAUAC
rnacentral:rRNA from 1 species